UACGUAGGUGGCAAGCGUUGUCCGGAAUUAUUGGGCGUAAAGCGCGCGCAGGCGGCCUUUUAAGUCUGAUGUGAAAGCCCACGGCUCAACCGUGGAAGGUCAUUGGAAACUGAAAGGCUUGAGUACAGAAGAGGAAAGCGGAAUUCCACGUGUAGCGGUGAAAUGCGUAGAGAUGUGGAGGAACACCGAUGGCGAAGGCAGGUCUCUGGGCAUUAACUGACGCUGAGGAGCGAAAGCAUGGGGAGCGAACAGG
rnacentral:rRNA from 1 species